rnacentral:rRNA from 1 species
AAGCUCGUAGUUGGAUUUCUGUUGUAUAAUCUAUAAUAUUACUAAGGUAUAUAUUAUAUUAUCAACAUCCUUCCUAUUAUAUUUCUAAAUAUAUAGGAAACUUUACUUUGAGAAAAUUAGAGUGCUUAAAGCAGGCAACUGCCUUGAAUACUCCAGCAUGGAAUAAUAAGUAAGGACUUUUGUCUUUCUUAUUGGUUCUAGGACAAAAGUAAUGGUUAAUAGGGACAGUUGGGGGCAUUCGUAUUUAACAGCCAGAGGUGAAAUUCUUAGAUUUGUUAAAGACGAACUACUGCGAAAGCAUUUGCCAAGGAUGUUUUCAUUAAUCAAGAACGAAAGUUAGGGGAUCGAAGACGAUCAGAUACCGUCGUAGUCUUAACCAUAAACUAUGCCGACUAGAGAUUGGAGGUUGUUCCUUACUCCUUCAGCACCUUA